CAGCCGCCGCGGGAAAACAGAGGGUGCGAGCGUUAAUCGGAUUUACUGGGCGUAAAGCGUGCGUAGGCGGCUUUUUAAGUCGGAUGUGAAAUCCCUGAGCUUAACUUAGGAAUUGCAUUCGAUACUGGGAAGCUAGAGUAUGGGAGAGGAUGGUAGAAUUCCAGGUGUAGCGGUGAAAUGCGUAGAGAUCUGGAGGAAUACCGAUGGCGAAGGCAGCCAUCUGGCCUAAUACUGACGCUGAGGUACGAAAGCAUGGGGAGCAAACAGGAUUAGAUACCCCCGUAGUCCCUGUCUCUUAACA
rnacentral:rRNA from 1 species